GGGCGAUUAGCUCAGCUGGUUAGAGUGCCGCCUUGACAUGGCGGAGGUCCGCGGUUCAAUCCCGCGAUCGCCCACCA
rnacentral:tRNA from 1 species